rfam:Salmo salar isolate Sally breed double haploid chromosome ssa14, whole genome shotgun sequence.
UGCAAUCACUACUGUAAGUCGCUCUGGAUAAGAGCGUCUGCUAAAUGACUGAAA